UACCGAGGGUGCAAGCGUUAAUCGGAAUUACUGGGCGUAAAGCGCGCGUAGGUGGUUUGUUAAGUUGAAUGUGAAAUCCCCGGGCUCAACCUGGGAACUGCAUCCAAAACUGGCAAGCUAGAGUAUGGUAGAGGGUAGUGGAAUUUCCUGUGUAGCGGUGAAAUGCGUAGAUAUAGGAAGGAACACCAGUGGCGAAGGCGACUACCUGGACUGAUACUGACACUGAGGUGCGAAAGCGUGGGGAG
rnacentral:rRNA from 1 species